rnacentral:ribozyme from 1 species
AUUCCAUUGCUUUUCUCUUUUUUCUUUUCCUCUUCCACCGUUCCACUUUCUUAUAAUUUAACUCACUGGCUUCUGGAAAAUGGAAUGGUGGGUGUGUUGUGUUUUAAUUAAAGGUGAACAAAGCAUGCGUUCCUUUCUUUCACUUAUCUUUGUUCUCUUUAAUUAA